GGUUGAGAGACUGAUCGGCCACAAUGGGACUGAGACACGGCCCAUACUCCUACGGGAGGCAGCAGUAGGGAAUCUUCCACAAUGGGCGCAAGCCUGAUGGAGCAACACCGCGUGAGUGAAGAAGGGUUUCGGCUCGUAAAGCUCUGUUGUUAAAGAAGAACACGUAUGAGAGUAACUGUUCAUACGUUGACGGUAUUUAACCAGAAAGUCACGGCUAACUACGUGCCAGCAGCCGCGGUAAUACGUAGGUGGCAAGCGUUAUCCGGAUUUAUUGGGCGUAAAGAGAGUGCAGGCGGUUUUCUAAGUCUGAUGUGAAAGCCUUCGGCUUAACCGGAGAAGUGCAUCGGAAACUGGAUAACUUGAGUGCAGAAGAGGGUAGUGGAACUCCAUGUGUAGCGGUGGAAUGCGUAGAUAUAUGGAAGAACACCAGUGGCGAAGGCGGCUACCUGGUCUGCAACUGACGCUGAGACUCGAAAGCAUGGGUAGCGAACAGGAUUAGAUACCCUGGUAGUCCAUGCCGUAAACGAUGAGUGCUAGGUGUUGGAGGGUUUCCGCCCUUCAGUGCCGGAGCUAACGCAUUAAGCACUCCGCCUGGGGAGUACGACCGCAAGGUUGAAACUCAAAGGAAUUGACGGGGGCCCGCACAAGCGGUGGAGCAUGUGGUUUAAUUCGAAGCUACGCGAAGAACCUUACCAGGUCUUGACAUCUUGCGCCAACCCUAGAGAUAGGGCGUUUCCUUCGGGAACGCAAUGACAGGUGGUGCAUGGUCGUCGUCAGCUCGUGUCGUGAGAUGUUGGGUUAAGUCCCGCAACGAGCGCAACCCUUGUUACUAGUUGCCAGCAUUAAGUUGGGCACUCUAGUGAGACUGCCGGUGACAAACCGGAGGAAGGUGGGGACGACGUCAGAUCAUCAUGCCCCUUAUGACCUGGGCUACACACGUGCUACAAUGGACGGUACAACGAGUCGCGAACUCGCGAGGGCAAGCAAAUCUCUUAAAACCGUUCUCAGUUCGGACUGCAGGCUGCAACUCGCCUGCACGAAGUCGGAAUCCUAGUAAUCGCGGAUCAGCAUGCCGCGGUGAAUACGUUCCCGGGCCUUGUACACACCGCCCGUCACACCAUGAUAGUUUUACACCCAUCUUCUUUUUUCCUCCUCCCCGCGCCUUCCCCCCUCCCGCUCCGGUCCA
rnacentral:rRNA from 2 species